GGCUUUAUAGUCAACAAUGAUAUUAGACUGCAAUUCUAAAGGAGUAGUGUUCUACUAAGGCUU
rnacentral:tRNA from 1 species